AAGUUUGUAAUGAAAGAUCGGUCUCCGUGUAGACACAUCUAACGUGAAACGGGACAGACCAAAGUUCUAUAGAAGAGAGGCAACUCCCGAAUAAUACACAUCGAAUAAACGUGAGGAUAUCCAAGUUUGAAAUGGAAGGAAAGUUUUUAUUACAAAGUUUAGUAUUUUUGAUAUUAAUACAGUUAGUUGUGAGUGCAUCUGACCCCGUCAACUGUCAAGUUAAUAAUUUUCAAACAAAACAGAAUUUCGAUUUGGAAAAGUAUCUUGGAAUAUGGUAUGAGAUGAAAUGGAUUGUUCCAUUUAAUGUUCCGAUAUCCGAUCGUUAUUUGGACUACCAACAUGAGUACACUAUGAAUACUGAUAAUCAAGUAUUGGCUUCCAUCACAGCAAGAAACUCGUCCAAGCAUUGUUUAUACAUCACUGCCUACAUGAAUCUAACCGAAACUCCAGGAAAAAUGGUGUUUUCAAAACAGCCAAACGGUGGAGGUGACACAUUUACUUACUGGAUUAUAGAAACAGAUUAUAUUAACUAUGCUGUGGUUUAUGGAUGUAGUCAGACACUGUCUAAUGGAACCUGUGGCACAACCCGUUUGUGGAUCUGGAGUAGAACGACGUCCAUC